UCCCUCUCAGGGUCGCACCUGGAGAGUCCCCGGUACUCUACCAGUCUCGACUACGGGAGGGAGAGUCAAGCAGAGGCCCGUCCGUUCCGUCCCUAGCCCGGCCGGUGGCUGGCGAGCGGAAGGCCGUCUGCCACAGGU